GUGGGGAAUCUUGCGCAAUGGGCGAAAGCCUGACGCAGCCAUGCCGCGUGAAUGAUGAAGGUCUUAGGAUUGUAAAAUUCUUUCACCGGGGACGAUAAUGUCGGUACCCGGAGAAGAAGCCCCGGCUAACUUCGUGCCAGCAGCCGCGGUAAUACGAAGGGGGCUAGCGUUGCUCGGAAUUACUGGGCGUAAAGGGCGCGUAGGCGGACAGUUUAGUCAGAGGUGAAAGCCCAGGGCUCAACCUUGGAAUUGCCUUUGAUACUGGCUGUCUUGAGUACGGGAGAGGUGAGUGGAACUCCGAGUGUAGAGGUGAAAUUCGUAGAUAUUCGGAAGAACACCAGUGGCGAAGGCGACUCACUGGCCCGUUACUGACGCUGAGGCGCGAAAGCGUGGGGAGCAAACAGGAUUAGAAACCCGGGUAGUCC
rnacentral:rRNA from 1 species